rnacentral:rRNA from 1 species
AUUGAACGCUGGCGGCAUGCCUUACACAUGCAAGUCGAACGGCAGCACGGGAGCAAUCCUGGUGGCGAGUGGCGAACGGGUGAGUAAUACACCGGAACGUGCCCAGUCGUGGGGGAUAACGUAGCGAAAGUUACGCUAAUACCGCAUACGAUCUAUGGAUGAAAGCGGGGGAUCGCAAGACCUCGCGCGAUUGGAGCGGCCGAUAUCGGAUUAGGUAGUGGGUGGGGUAAAGGCUCACCAAGCCGACGAUCUGGAGCUGGUCUGAGAGGACGACCAGCCACACUGGGACUGAGACACGGCCCAGACUCCUACGGGAGGCAGCAGUGGGGAAUUUUGGACAAUGGGCGCAAGCCUGAUCCAGCCAUGCCGCGUGCAGGAUGAAGGCCUUCGGGUUGUAAACUGCUUUUGUACGGAACGAAAAGGUUUGACUUAAUACGUUGGACUCAUGACGGUACCGUAAGAAUAAGCACCGGCUAACUACGUGCCAGCAGCCGCCGUAA